UGGGACAAUAGGCCCAAAAGGCCCACGUUAUAUGCCAAAAGAGAAGGGAAGUCUUCAGUAUGGAAUCACACAAGCUCCUUCUUUCCUAAACCUCUUUCUCCCUAAAGCGAAAUCCGAUCAUUCCUCUGUUUCUAUCCACAUAACCCAAAUCGAAGCCCAAAAUAUACAAACUCUAAAUCUUCAAAUCUAAAUUAAAUGCAAGUGAUACCAAAUUCUAACCUUAAAACUUAGGAUUAUAUAUCCUCUAUGAUAACUAUAUCCUAUGGUAACGAGAAACGGAUAAAACAAGCAAGUUUGAAUGGGAUGAACCAACCUUCGAAGCGGCGAGUUGGUCAGGUCAAGAUUGUAAGACUUGAAGGCGAAGAUAAUAGGAAAACUAGAGAUGCUUCGAAUGAGGGCUAGUGUGAGCUAUAUUUGUGUCAUGAAACACCCUCCAUGAGGAUUUGGUCAAGGUAUGAAGGUUAACACAAGGGUCAUGAAGAAAAUUGAAAUAAAAGGUUCAUGAAGACAACAUCAAACAUGGGAUGGCUUAUAAAAUGGAGAAGAAAAUAAAUGGGGGAAGUAGGGUUCAGUUGGUUGACUUUGGUCAAAUGUUUGACCAAAAGUCAACAAUUGACCCAAAAGUCAACCUAGGCCAAAAUUAUGUUUCUUUUUUUUGUGUAAUGAAACUUUGAAAAUUUGUAGUGAAAUUUGGUUUUUGAA